GCCGAGGUAGCUCAGUGGCAGAGCAGGAGACUCAUAAGCCCUUGGUCGUGAGUUCAAAUCUCACCCUCGGCA
rnacentral:tRNA from 1 species